rnacentral:rRNA from 1 species
GGCUGCAGUGGGGAAUAUUGGACAAUGGGCGCAAGCCUGAUCCAGCAAUGCCGCGUGAGUGAUGAAGGCCUUAGGGUUGUAAAGCUCUUUUACCCGGGAUGAUAAUGACAGUACCGGGAGAAUAAGCCCCGGCUAACUCCGUGCCAGCAGCCGCGGUAAUACGGAGGGGGCUAGCGUUGUUCGGAAUUACUGGGCGUAAAGCGCACGUAGGCGGCUUUGUAAGUUAGAGGUGAAAGCCCGGGGCUCAACUCCGGAAUUGCCUUUAAGACUGCAUCGCUAGAAUUGUGGAGAGGUAAGUGGAAUUCCGAGUGUAGAGGUGAAAUUCGUAGAUAUUCGGAAGAACACCAGUGGCGAAGGCGACUUACUGGACACAUAUUGACGCUGAGGUGCGAAAGCGUGGGGAGCAAACAGGAUUAGAUACCCU